UCCGGUUUAACACCGGCAGUCUUCCUAGAGUCCCCAACUUAAUGAUGGUAACUAAGAACAGGGGUUGCGCUCGUUGCCGGACUUAACCGAACAUUUCACAACACGAGCUGACGACAGCCAUGCAGCACCUGUCCACGAGUCCCCGAAGGGAAAACCACAUCUCUGUGGCGAUCUCGCGAUGUCAAGACCAGGUAAGGUUCUGCGCGUUGCUUCGAAUUAAACCACAUACUCCACCGCUUGUGCGGGCCCCCGUCAAUUCCUUUGAGUUUUAGUCUUGCGACCGUACUUCCCAGGCGGGACACUUAAUGUGUUAACUUUGGCACUCAGAGGGUUAACUCUCCGAACGCCGAGUGUCCAUCGUUUACGGUGCGGACUAC
rnacentral:misc_RNA from 1 species